CCAUGUUUUAUUGUAGCGCUGGAUUCAGAGUCCAAAAGGCUACCUUUCUUCUUAAGACUGAGCCUCCAUGCCCAUUGCUUGAUAUUAUAUCUCUGGUACCAGACUUCUUCAGCAUAGACAAUAACUAGACAACUUCGUAUGAAUGCUAAUUGUUAAUCUACAUACCAAACAUACACUAUGAAUUCAAUCUAUAACGUAAAAAAAUGUUGAACAUGCGAGAGUCCUGCUUGCUUGUGCUUGAUGUCUACUUGUCUUGACAGUCCUGACUGCAUCAGUUCUUCCUCUGUUUUUGCCACAGUCUUGUGUGCUUGCCGGCCUGUGCUUGUCAUCUUCUUUCCAUUGUGGAGACACAUGAUUGACGUUCUUGAUCUCCCCAGUGCCCUCCCGAUCUCCUCCAUUACUUGAGUCUCCUGUAUCUUGUUUACUAGGGUUACCUCAGUGGGUUGACCUCUGGCUAUGCUGGUGAAUAACGCAACUGUUCUGCAGGGCUGAUAGGUAAUUUGACACCAACCACAUGUGCCCGUUUUCCCGCCGAAGCUGGUACAGGCCACACUGACGAGUGGAAGUCUGCUAUUUUCCCCUUGCACUGCUUCUGUGACAGGCCUUGGAUCCUGUCAAAGUCAAUCUCGGUAGAACCUCCAAAUUGUUACCCGCCCGACCGCGAGGGCCGGGCGCUAGACGGGGACUACAGACGACGUCAGAGCCCAGACUUCGGGAGACCAAACUUUAAUGUCAAACAAGAUGGAUUCACUUCACAGAACUCUACCUCCAAAUUGCUUAC